GACGAACGCUGGCGGCGUGCUUAACACAUGCAAGUCGAACGGAAAGGCCUGCUUUCCCUUGUGGAUUGCGGGUACUCGAGUGGCGAACGGGUGAGUAACACGUGAGUGAUCUGCCCCCAACUUGGGUAUAAGCCUGGGAAACUGGGUCUAAUUCCCGAUAGGACUGCAGGGUGGUGCCUGUGGUGGAAAACGAUUUUCUAGUGGUUGGGGAUGAGCUCGCGGCCUAUCAGCUUGUUGGUGGGGUAAUGGCCUACCAAGGCGGCGACGGGUAGCCGGCCUGAGAGGGUGGACGGCCACAUUGGGACUGAGAUACGGCCCAGACUCCUACGGGAGGCAGCAGUGGGGAAUAUUGCACAAGGGGCGGAAGCCUGAUGCAGCGACGCCGCGUGGGGGAUGACGGCCUUCGGGUUGUAAACUCCUUUCGACCGAGAGGAAGCCACCUGGUUGGAAGGGUGGUGACGGUAGUGGUAGAAGAAGCACCGGCUAACUACGUG
rnacentral:rRNA from 1 species